CUUUCAUUGGUUCCAGCUUACCUGGGAAACUCACCAGGCCAAGCCCAGGCUCACCUGGUCACUUUAGUGGUGGAACAACUGAAGGGGGAAAUGUAGCCACCACUGGAGCUGCUGGUGAAAACACUUCUGGAGCAUCGGGUUCAACAGAAGGGUCCGUGGAAGCCACCACCAGAGCAGGCAGUGGAAACACAGCUGGAACAUCAGGUACUAGGG
rnacentral:lncRNA from 10 species